rnacentral:rRNA from 1 species
UACGUAGGGUGCAAGCGUUAAUCGGAAUUACUGGGCGUAAAGCGUGCGCAGGCGGUUUUGUAAGUCUGUCGUGAAAUCCCCGGGCUCAACCUGGGAAUGGCGAUGGAUACUGGGCAGCUAGAGUGUGUCAGAGGAUGGUGGAAUUCCCGGUGUAGCGGUGAAAUGCGUAGAGAUGUGGAGGAACACCAGUGGCGAAGGCGGCUCUUUGGUCUGUAACUGACGCUGAGGCGCGAAAGCGUGGGGAGCGAACAGG